CCUACGGGAGGCAGCAGUGAGGAAUAUUGGACAAUGGGCGCAAGCCUGAUCCAGCCAUGCCGCGUGCAGGAUGACGGUCCUAUGGAUUGUAAACUGCUUUUAUACAGGAAGAAACACCUCUACGUGUAGAGACUUGACGGUACUGUAAGAAUAAGGAUCGGCUAACUCCGUGCCAGCAGCCGCGGUAAUACGGAGGAUCCAAGCGUUAUCCGGAAUCAUUGGGUUUAAAGGGUCCGUAGGCGGUUUAGUAAGUCAGUGGUGAAAGCCCAUCGCUCAACGGUGGAACGGCCAUUGAUACUGCUAGACUUGAAUUAUUAGGAAGUAACUAGAAUAUGUAGUGUAGCGGUGAAAUGCUUAGAGAUUACAUGGAAUACCAAUUGCGAAGGCAGGUUACUACUAAUUGAUUGACGCUGAUGGACGAAAGCGUGGGUAGCGAACAGGAUUAGAUACCCUGGUAGUCCACGCCGUAAACGAUGGAUACUAGCUGGUUAGGGAGCAAUCUCUAGUGGUCGUAGACGAAGUAGAGUAAGUAUACCACCGUCGGGUAGGUACGUUACGUACGAAGAAGUAGUAAACGUAACGUAAAGUAAGUAGUACGUACGUAGAGACGCGACGACGGACGACGACGGAGGGAGGAG
rnacentral:rRNA from 1 species